GACGAACGCUGGCGGCGUGCCUAAUACAUGCAAGUAGAACGCUGAAGAGAGGAGCUUGCUCUUCUUGGAUGAGUUGCGAACGGGUGAGUAACGCGUAGGUAACCUGCCUUGUAGCGGGGGAUAACUAUUGGAAACGAUAGCUAAUACCGCAUAACAAUGGAUGACACAUGUCAUUUAUUUGAAAGGGGCAAUUGCUCCACUACAAGAUGGACCUGCGUUGUAUUAGCUAGUAGGUGAGGUAAUGGCCCACCUAGGCGACGAUACAUAGCCGACCUGAGAGGGUGAUCGGCCACACUGGGACUGAGCCACGGCCCAGACUCCUACGGGAGGCAGCAGUAGGGAAUCUUCGGCAAUGGGGGCAACCCUGACCGAGCAACGCCGCGUGAGUGAAGAAGGUUUUCGGAUCGUAAAGCUCUGUUGUAAGUCAAGAACGGGUGUGAGAGUGGAAAGUUCACACUGUGACGGUAGCUUACCAGAAAGGGACGGCUAACUACGUG
rnacentral:rRNA from 1 species